UCGGAGACUGAGGUGACCGAGGCCGGGCUGUGGAAGGCGGGCUUGGGGAUCCAGCGGGCGGGGCGAGGUCGCUCCGUGCCGCCCACGCCGGAUGCACAGCCGGCCUUCUCCGCGCCCACGUACCCACGUGAGCGCCCAGCCGGCGACAUUCUUACUCCCACUCCCCCUUCCCCUCCGAGAGGAGAGCGGAGUUUCACAACCACGCACAGGUACACAAAGGCAGCGAGCACCGCAAAGGACGGCACACGCGUCUGAACAGCUCCGCGGACGCCUGCUGCCCACGCUCCAACCUCGCGGUGCUGUGCUUGUGAACGUUAGGAGUGAGCCGGGAAAAGUUGUUGGAGACUCGGGGUGCGCGUCUCCUUUCGUGCGUCUGACUCCCAUAGAGAGUGCGCUUAAGGCAGGCUCUGGAGUGCAGGCUCAGUAGUGGUGCGCCAGCCUGCUGCUCCACGGCACGUGGGAUCUUCCCAGACCAGGCGUCAAACCCGUGGCUCCUGCACUGGCGGGAUUCAGGACUACUAAGCCACCAGAUUGGUAACAAGCUUGGGACGAGAUGGUUGGAUGGCAUCACCGACUCAAUGGACAUGAAUUGAGCAAGCUCCGGGACGUGGUGAAGGACAGGGCAGCCUGGCGUGCUGCAUGCAGUUCAUGGGGGUCACAAAGAGUUGGACACGACUGAGCAACUGAACAGCAAAGACAACAGCAAAGUUUGAGUGGCACUGCUGUAGCUAAAAUUCAUCUCUUUUAUUUAUGUGACAAGCAUAUGAAGCGCUCUGCAAGCACAGAGGAUGGCCUUGUUUGUUUUUAUUUAUUUGGCUGUGUUGGGUCUUGGUUGCAGCACUCGGGAUCUUCAUUGCAUCGUGGGGGAUCUUUCAUUCUGGGGCACGGACUCUCUAGUUGUGGCUUACGGGCUAAGCUGCUCUAUAGCAUGUAGGAUCUUAGUUCCUCAACCAGGCAUCAAACCUGCAUGCCCUGUAUUGCAAGGUGGAAUCUUAACCACUAGACCACCAGGGAAGUGCCCAAAUUUGUUUCUCUACAUCUGUAUUUAGGUGAUAUUAGGACCAUGGGCCAUAAAGUAUCACAGGAGAUACCAUGGAGCCAUAAAGCCUUAACAUGGGAGUGACAUGGUCAGAUCUGUAUUUAGGAGUGGUGUGGAGAAAAGGUUUUAUGGAUGUCAAAACUGCAGAGAGGCCAACCUGAAGGAAACACAAGUGCGCUGAGAGAGAUGGCAAGGUGCUAGACUAAACCACUGGCGCUGGAGAUGGAGAGGAAAGGACAGAUUUAAAAGAUAGUCAUCAGGGCUUCCCUGGGGGCUCAGAGGUAAAGAAUCCACCUGCCAAUGCAGGAGCCAUGGGUUCUGUCACUGACCCACGUGCUGCAGGGCAACUGGCCUUGCACUGCAGCUGUUGAGCCUGUGUUGAAGAGCCCAGGAGCCACAACUGCUGAGGCCCCAGAGCCCCGGAGCCCCUGCUCUACCAGAGAGGCCACUGCAGGAAGCCUACACACAGCAGCUAGAGCACAUCCCCUGCUCGCUGCAACGAGAGGAAAGUUCACACUGCAGUGAAGACCCAGCAUGGUGAAAAGUCAAAAAUAAAUAAUUAUUUUUCAAAAAAACCUUAAAAGAUCAUCAGGUAAUAUGAAUAGAACCUGAUGAUUGGCUAAAGGGUUGGGGAAAGAGAGGAGUUUAGAGUAACUCUCAGGCUUCUAGCUUGGGUGACUGAGUGGAUAGAAUGGAGCAUCGUCAUCAGAUAGUCACCAUCUGCAGUCUUUUUCCUAAAUUAAGAAAGUUAUGAAAACCAAAAAUUUUCAUAUCUCUUUUGACUACAAAACCUAAUCUGACUUGAACUUACUUUGUGGCGGACCUCCUAGCUUAUCAAGGCUGUAUAUUGUCAUCUUGCUUAUUUAAUUUACAUGCGGAGUACAUCAUGUGAAAUGCCGGACUGAAUGAAGCACAAACUGGAGUCAAGAUUACAGGGAGAAAUAUCAAUAACCUCAGAUAAGCAGAUGACACCACCCUUAGGGCAGAAAUCGAAGAGGAACUAAAGAGCCUCUUAAUGAAAGUGAAAGAGGAGAGUGAAAUAGUUUAUUAAUACAUAAGGUUAUUUAUAGUUUCAUUUAUGCCACUUUCAUUUAUACCAAUGUGAAUAUUCAUCUCUCAUUGCAGAAACAUUAAUUUGUUUAUGAGGUACUGUCCCAGACCCCACUGAGAUUGCUGUCUUAUUUAUUACAUAUGCACCAUAUUACAUUUCUAAAAUCCAAAAAAAUUCUGAAACACAUUUACGAUCCAGAUUUCCUGCCCCAUUUACUCAUCAGCAUUGGCCUGAGUUUUUUUUUGUUAUUUGCAUAAAUCAGAUCCACCUGCAGAUAAUGAAUAUUCAUUGAAGUGUGUGUUAUAGACUUUGAAGAUGAUUCUCAAAGUGUUUUGAGCAGUGUUCAUAUUAUUAAAA